rnacentral:lncRNA from 1 species
GGAACCACAGCUGUAUUACUGCCUAAUCGGGCUGCUUUUAAAUCUAAAUUGUAUUUACUUGAGUCCUUCCCCAGCCACUGAUUCCUCUGAGUACCAAAUCAAAAGAGGACAAGAAGAGAAAAGCAUAAUUUAUUCAAAAUCUUUUUAUCCAGCAAGCCUGGCUUCAUUUGGGGUAUUAGGUAUCGUUACAAAGCCAGAGAGGAUUUAACAGGACUUUGAAUAAGGAGGAGAAACUAAGAGGAAAACACAUCAGGUGGUUUUACAACAUCUCCAGUAGGAAAAUAAAAGACCCAAAACUGCAGAGACACUUGCUUCGCCCUGGAAGGACAGGCGUAAUUUGCAGAGGAAGUGGUGGUGUUUAAUUUCAAUCAAAACAAGUCUGUUCUGCUCAUUUCUUUGGCCCAGGACCCUGAGCUGGAGAAGUCCAAACAUGUGAUCUGGGAACAAGUGUUUUGUUUUUUGCUUCCCCCCCCUCAAAGUAACAGAAAUAGAAUUAUCAUUCAUUCUGGAGACGCUGAGGGUGAUGGAUUGAAGGACGUGGGAUCCCUGCCCGGGCAGAGACAGCGGACCGUCUCGGCAGUGGCCAGUGUGAAGAGAAUCUUAGGGGAGCAAGAGUGUGGAGCAUGCGGAACAGUCCAGAACCAGAAGCAGAGCUGCAGCCUUGUCUCCCAGAUAGACGCGGACCCUGCACCUCUCACGGAAUUUUCCUGACCUCGUCCAGCACCCAGACACUUCACAGCAGGCCUGCCGUUUAGUCCUGGGUCUGAGUCUGUGCCUGGAGUCAGGAACCGGAUCUGAUACAGAAUCCGGCGUUGUCUCUAUCCGCGGGAUUCUGCCUCAGGUACCACCGUUUAUGUCAUUUCUGGAAUUUUAGCCAAAACAAUGAAAACUCCCAGCUGUAAGGAAAUGUUAAAAUGAUUAUGCAUAAUUGAAGGCACGGCAUUUUCUAAGUGAAGCUAAAUCAUUUCUAUUAAAAAUGCCACUCGGAAACAUGUCCCCUCAUGGUUAAAAUGCUGCUCACGCCCGAUGGUGCUCCAAUUCGGGGCACUCUUGUAUUUUUGAAAGGGCCAGACUGGGAACGUUUCUGACCCCAGGACAGCAGCUACGCUCCUUUCAUCGGACAGUGAGGGGACUUGGCUCAUGCCAACGGUUAAUUUGGGGAGAGGGUGGGGGUAAGGAACACCCCACAAAUUGGUUCCCCCCUCACCUCCUCUGUCACUAUGCCAUUGCUACUCUCUCUGGGGACCUCGGUCCUUAAGCUUCUUCGCUACUUUUAUAAUUUGUUAAGUGGUGUCAGGUACACAUGGUUCUAGGGAAACCUUUUCGUACCCAAACCCUGUGAGCCUGC